rnacentral:rRNA from 1 species
CGGCAACAGCUCAAAUUUGAAAUCUGGCCCCCGGGUCCGAGUUGUAAUUUGUAGAGGAUGCUUUUGGUGCGGUACCUUCCGAGUUCCCUGGAACGGGACGCCAUAGAGGGUGAGAGCCCCGUCUGGUUGGACGCCAAUCCUUUGUAAAGCUCCUUCAAC